UUAAGCGACUAAGCGUACACGGUGGAUGCCCUGGCAGUCAGAGGCGAUGAAGGACGUGCUAAUCUGCGAAAAGCGUCGGUAAGGUGAUAUGAACCGUUAUAACCGGCGAUGUCCGAAUGGGGAAACCCAGUGNCACUAUCGUUAACUGAAUACAUAGGUUAACGAGGCGAACCGGGGGAACUGAAACAUCUAAGUACCCCGAGGAAAAGAAAUCAACCGAGAUUCCCCCAGUAGCGGCGAGCGAACGGGGAGCAGCCCAGAGUCUGAAUCAGCUUGUGUGUUAGUGGAACGGUCUGGAAAGUCCGACGGUACAGGGUGAUAGUCCCGUACACCAAAAUGCACAGGCUGUGAACUCGAAGAGUAGGGCGGGACACGUGGUAUCCUGUCUGAAUAUGGGGGGACCAUCCUCCAAGGCUAAAUACUCCUGACUGACCGAUAGUGAACCAGUACCGUGAGGGAAAGGCGAAAAGAACCCCGGCGAGGGGAGUGAAAAAGAACCUGAAACCGUGUACGUACAAGCAGUGGGAGCACCUUCGGGUGUGACUGCGUACCUUUUGUAUAAUGGGUCAGCGACUUAUAUUCUGUAGCAAGGUUAACCGUAUAGGGGAGCCGCAGGGAAACCGAGUCUUAACUGGGCGUUAAGUUGCAGGGUAUAGACCCGAAACCCGGUGAUCUAGCCAUGGGCAGGUUGAAGGUUGGGUAACACUAACUGGAGGACCGAACCGACUAAUGUUGAAAAAUUAGCGGAUGACUUGUGGCUGGGGGUGAAAGGCCAAUCAAACCGGGAGAUAGCUGGUUCUCCCCGAAAGCUAUUUAGGUAGCGCCUCGUGAAUUCAUCUUCGGGGGUAGAGCACUGUUUCGGCUAGGGGGUCAUCCCGACUUACCAACCCGAUGCAAACUACGAAUACCGAAGAAUGUUAUCACGGGAGACACACGGCGGGUGCUAACGUCCGUCGUGAAGAGGGAAACAACCCAGACCGCCAGCUAAGGUCCCAAAGUCAUGGUUAAGUGGGAAACGAUGUGGGAAGGCACAGACAGCCAGGAUGUUGGCUUAGAAGCAGCCAUCAUUUAAAGAAAGCGUAAUAGCUCACUGGUCGAGUCGGCCUGCGCGGAAGAUGUAACGGGGCUAAACCAUGCACCGAAGCUGCGGCAGCGACACUAUGUGUUGUUGGGUAGGGGAGCGUUCUGUAAGCCUGCGAAGGUGUGCUGUGAGGCAUGCUGGAGGUAUCAGAAGUGCGAAUGCUGACAUAAGUAACGAUAAAGCGGGUGAAAAGCCCGCUCGCCGGAAGACCAAGGGUUCCUGUCCAACGUUAAUCGGGGCAGGGUGAGUCGACCCCUAAGGCGAGGCCGAAAGGCGUAGUCGAUGGGAAACAGGUUAAUAUUCCUGUACUUGGUGUUACUGCGAAGGGGGGACGGAGAAGGCUAUGUUAGCCGGGCGACGGUUGUCCCGGUUUAAGCAUGUAGGCUGGUUGUCCAGGCAAAUCCGGAUAAUCAAGGCUGAGGUGUGAUGACGAGGCACUACGGUGCUGAAGUAACAAAUGCCCUGCUUCCAGGAAAAGCCUCUAAGCAUCAGGUAACAUCAAAUCGUACCCCAAACCGACACAGGUGGUCAGGUAGAGAAUACCAAGGCGCUUGAGAGAACUCGGGUGAAGGAACUAGGCAAAAUGGUGCCGUAACUUCGGGAGAAGGCACGCUGGUGUGUAGGUGAAGUCCCUGCGGAUGGAGCUGAGACCAGUCGAAGAUACCAGCUGGCUGCAACUGUUUAUUAAAAACACAGCACUGUGCAAACACGAAAGUGGACGUAUACGGUGUGACGCCUGCCCGGUGCCGGAAGGUUAAUUGAUGGGGUUAUCCGUAAGGAGAAGCUCUUGAUCGAAGCCCCGGUAAACGGCGGCCGUAACUAUAACGGUCCUAAGGUAGCGAAAUUCCUUGUCGGGUAAGUUCCGACCUGCACGAAUGGCGUAAUGAUGGCCAGGCUGUCUCCACCCGAGACUCAGUGAAAUUGAACUCGCUGUGAAGAUGCAGUGUACCCGCGGCAAGACGGAAAGACCCCGUGAACCUUUACUAUAGCUUGACACUGAACAUUGAGCCUUGAUGUGUAGGAUAGGUGGGAGGCUUUGAAGCGUGGACGCCAGUCUGCGUGGAGCCAACCUUGAAAUACCACCCUUUAAUGUUUGAUGUUCUAACGUUGGCCCCUUACCGGGGUUGCGGACAGUGUCUGGUGGGUAGUUUGACUGGGGCGGUCUCCUCCCAAAGCGUAACGGAGGAGCACGAAGGUUAGCUAAUCCUGGUCGGACAUCAGGAGGUUAGUGCAAUGGCAUAAGCUAGCUUGACUGCGAGCGUGACGGCGCGAGCAGGUGCGAAAGCAGGUCAUAGUGAUCCGGUGGUUCUGAAUGGAAGGGCCAUCGCUCAACGGAUAAAAGGUACUCCGGGGAUAACAGGCUGAUACCGCCCAAGAGUUCAUAUCGACGGCGGUGUUUGGCACCUCGAUGUCGGCUCAUCACAUCCUGGGGCUGAAGUAGGUCCCAAGGGUAUGGCUGUUCGCCAUUUAAAGUGGUACGCGAGCUGGGUUUAGAACGUCGUGAGACAGUUCGGUCCCUAUCUGCCGUGGGCGCUGGAGAAUUGAGGGGGGCUGCUCCUAGUACGAGAGGACCGGAGUGGACGCAUCACUGGUGUUCGGGUUGUCAUGCCAAUGGCACUGCCCGGUAGCUAAAUGCGGAAGAGAUAAGUGCUGAAAGCAUCUAAGCACGAAACUUGCCCCGAGAUGAGUUCUCCCUGAGACUUUAAGUCUCCUGAAGGAACGUUNGACGUUGAUAGGCCGGGUGUGUAAGCGCAGCGAUGCGUUGAGCUAACCGGUACUAAUGAACCGUGAGGCUUAACCUU
rnacentral:rRNA from 1 species